UAAAUCGACGCGGUCCGAGUCAAGUUCAACCCGCGAGUGUGUGAGUGAGUGUGUGUGUGCGCGUGUUCCGAGAGCAUUGAGAAAUCCUUCAAGCUUGGAUUAUCGCCGUAAAGAUAAAGCGAGCGGGAGCUUUCGCCCUGUCCUCCCCCCAUACCUAGAGCGGAAAGAUGCCCUCGGCGAGAUAGAAACGGCUAGGCUGGCAACGCUAGUGAAAAAGUGUGUCUCAGGGACAAAAGAAGCACUUCAGGCUUUCGGAACCCAAAAUUUGAAGCCGUUGGAAACACGUGCGUAAGAUGCCGAGGAUCGAUGGAACAAAGUAACGGCCGAAUAGCGGAACGGGGGAUCGGUCGAACGGAGGAACGGAGGAAUCGGAGGAAUCAGAGAAACCGGGGAACGGGGGAACGAAGGAACAGAGAAACGGGGGAAUCCGUGGAACUGAAGGAAGGUACGGAACGGAACAGAGAGAUAAACGGGGGAACGGAAGGAACGGAGGAACGAAGGGACGUGCCUGAGUGGGGAUCGAGGGGGAUUCGAGGUCGGCUAAAGAGCUAGGCGCGGAUCUGUCCUGUGAGAUCCUUGAGUCGACGAGGAUGCGACGCGACGGACGAAGUUCCCGGACCUCGCAGAGGCCGGGUCACGUGUCCGAUUCAACGAGCUUUAUACGCCAGGCUGGCGAAAGCUUGCAGCUGAACUGCGCCUAGCAUGCCCUGUCAGUCCGAAGGGAUAAAGGAUACAAAGGAUCGGGAAAUACGGUGAAGCGAGAGACAAUAAUCCAAUGCAAGAGUGCAGCAGAUGCAUGGGAGACGUGCGGAGAAGAAAAACAACCAUCCGGGACGAUAUUUCCGGGUGAAUUAAAUAAAAAAAAUGCGACGACGGUACUGUUCUUGAAGUUCGCGAUAAAUAAUGAAAGCUGUAAUUUUGUGGUCGGAGAAUCCCCGAGGAAGAGGUGCAGGAAGGUUGAGGAAAAUUUUGCAACUUUUUAGAGCCCCUAAAUUGAAGCUUAGG